GACGAACGCUGGCGGCGUGCUUAACACAUGCAAGUCGAACGGAAAGGCCUCUUUCGGGGGUACUCGAGUGGCGAACGGGUGAGUAACACGUGAGUAACCUGCCCUUGACUUUGGGAUAACUUCAGGAAACUGGGGCUAAUACCGGAUAGGAGCUCCUGCUGCAUGGUGGGGGUUGGAAAAGUUUCGGCGGUUGGGAUGGACUCGCGGCUUAUCAGCUUGUUGGUGGGGUAGUGGCUUACCAAGGCUUUGACGGGUAGCCGGCCUGAGAGGGUGACCGGCCACAUUGGGACUGAGAUACGGCCCAGACUCCUACGGGAGGCAGCAGUGGGGAAUAUUGCACAAUGGGUGGAAGCCUGAUGCAGCAACGCCGUGUGCGGGAUGACGGCCUCGGUGUAACGAC
rnacentral:rRNA from 1 species